AACGAACGCUGGCGGCAGGCUUAACACAUGCAAGUCGAACGCAUCCUUCGGGGUGAGUGGCAGACGGGUGAGUAACGCGUGGGAACGUGCCCUUCAGUUCGGAAUAACCCAGGGAAACUUGGGCUAAUACCGGAUACGUGCGAGAGCAGAAAGAUUUAUCGCUGAAGGAUCGGCCCGCGUCUGAUUAGCUAGUUGGUGAGGUAAUGGCUCACCAAGGCGACGAUCAGUAGCUGGUCUGAGAGGAUGAUCAGCCACAUUGGGACUGAGACACGGCCCAAACUCCUACGGGAGGCAGCAGUGGGGAAUAUUGGACAAUGGGCGCAAGCCUGAUCCAGCCAUGCCGCGUGAGUGAUGAAGGCCUUAGGGUUGUAAAGCUCUUUCAGUGGGGACGAUAAUGACGGUACCCGCAGAAGAAGCCCCGGCUAACUUCGUGCCAGCAGCCGCGGUAAUAC
rnacentral:rRNA from 1 species